UCCGGUUGAUCCUGCCAGAGGUUACUGCUAUCGAGAUUCGACUAAGCCAUGCGAGUUGAAUGUUCUUCGGAACAUGGCGGACUGCUCAGUAACACGUGGACAACCUACCCUUGGGUCCGGCAUAAUCCUGGGAAACUGGGAAUAAUUCCGGAUAGGUCACCGAUGCUGGAAUGCGCGGUGGCCGAAAGCUCCGGCGCCCGAGGAUGGGUCUGCGGCCUAUCAGGUUGUAGUGGGUGUAACGUACCUACUAGCCUACGACGGGUACGGGUUGUGAGAGCAAGAGCCCGGAGAUGGAUUCUGAGACACGAAUCCAGGCCCUACGGGGUGCAGCAGGCGCGAAAACUUUACAAUGCGGGAAACCGUGAUAAGGGGAUCUCGAGUGCCAGCAUAUAAUGUUGGCUGUCCAGAUGCCUAAAAAGCAUUGUUAGCAAGGGCCGGGCAAGACCGGUGCCAGCCGCCGCGGUAACACCGGCGGCCCGAGUGGUAACCGCUAUUAUUGGGUCUAAAGGGUCUGUAGCCGGCCAGGUAAGUCCCUUGGGAAAUCUGGCAGCUCAACUGUCAGGCUGCUAGGGGAUACUGUUUGGCUUGNGACCGGGAGAGGUGAGAGGUACCUUGGGGGUAGGGGGAAAAUUUUGGAUUCUGGAGGAAACACCAGGGGGAAAGGGUUUUAACCCGAAAGGGUCCGACGGUAAGGGGAGAAAAUUUAGGGGCCGAACCGGGUUAGUUACCCGGGUAGUUCCUAGCGGAAACGAUGCUCGUUAGGGUUCAGUCCGGGUGGGACCGUAAUUGUGCCCGUAGGGAAGCCGUGAAGCGAGCCACUGGGGAAGUAUGGCCGAAGGGGUGAAAUUUAAAGGAAUUGGGGGGGGAGCAUUACAACGGGUGGAGCCUGCGGUUUAAUUGGAUUCAACGCCGGAAAUCUCACCGGGGGCGACAGCGAUAUGAAGGUCAGGCUGAAGACUUUACCGGAUUAGCUGAGAGGUGGUGCAUGGCCGUCGUCAGUUCGUACUGUGAAGCAUCCUGUUAAGUCAGGCAACGAGCGAGACCCACAUCCACAGUUGCCAGCAUAUUCUCCGGAAUGAUGGGUACACUGUGGAGACCGCCGCUGCUAAAGCGGAGGAAGGAGUGGGCAACGGUAGGUCAGUAUGCCCCGAAUCUCCCGGGCUACACGCGGGCUACAAUGGUUGGUACAAUGGGCAUCUACCCCGAAAGGGGAAGGAAAUCUCUUAAAACCAAUCGUAGUUCGGAUUGAGGGCUGCAACUCGCCCUCAUGAAGCUGGAAUCCGUAGUAAUCGCGUUUCAACAGAACGCGGUGAAUACGUCCCUGCUCCUUGCACACACCGCCCGUCAAACCACCCGAGUAGGGUCUGGAUGAGGGUGUGUUUUAUUGUCACAUUCGAAUCUGGGCUUUGCAAGGGGGGUU
rnacentral:rRNA from 1 species